rnacentral:rRNA from 1 species
GGGGAGUUGACCUUGAAAUACCACCCUUUAAUAGUUAAUUUUCUAAUCUAGUACCGUUAUCCGGUAUGGAAACAGUGUCUGGUGGGUAGUUUGACUGGGGCGGUCUCCUCCCAAAGAGUAACGGAGGAGUACAAAGAUUGGCUAAUUACGGUUGGAAAUCGUAAGGUUAGUGCAAAGGCAUAAGCCAGUUUAACUGUGAGCGUGAUAACGCGAACAGAUGCGAAAGCAGGUCUUAGUGAUCCGGUGGUUUCUGUAUGGAAAGGCCAUCGCUCAACAAAUAAAAGGUACUCCGGGGAUAACAGGCUGAUACCGCCCAAGAGUUCAUAUCGACGGCGGUGUUUGGCACCUCGAUGUCGGCUCAUCACA